rnacentral:rRNA from 1 species
UACGAAGGGGGCUAGCGUUGCUCGGAAUCACUGGGCGUAAAGCGCACGUAGGCGGAUCUUUAAGUCAGGGGUGAAAUCCCAAGGCUCAACCUUGGAACUGCCUUUGAUACUGGGGAUCUCGAGUCCGGAAGAGGUGAGUGGAACUGCGAGUGUAGAGGUGAAAUUCGUAGAUAUUCGGAGGAACACCAGUGGCGAAGGCGGCUCACUGGCUCGGUACUGACGCUGAGGUGCGAAAGCGUGGGGAGCAAACAGG